GUCCAAUGGGAGCACGCCUUACUACCACGCGCGGGUGUGACCGCCCAAUCACAGCGCGCGUCUCUGAGCCGUCGCCAAGGCAACGAGAAACGCCCGAGUUGCUUGGCAACCGAGGCGAGCCGUAGGCUUGUGGCCCUCACUUAGGCCUCGCUCUGAAGCAGCGAUCACAACUCUCCCUUAGACCGAGCGUCGUCAUCGUCGUUAAGAACGUUGCUGCUGCUGCUGCUGUUGUUGUUGUUCUUGCAGCGCUCUGUGAUCGCCGGAGGGAAGUUGAGGGCAACGAAAAGGGCGGGCCGGCGGCGUUGACGCGCCGUGCAGGCGGAGAGGUGAAAGGGCCACUCGAGGGAUGGAGAGACAAGGGUUUGUGGUGCUGACUGGAAACAAGGAACCCGUUUCAGCGAAACUCAAAGCUCGCAGCAGCACGCAGGCUCUGCGCGGAGAGACGCUGCAGCUCGCCGUGGAGAACACGGAGCUGGAGGAGCAGCUGGAGAAACUGCGGCGCGAGGGGCAGCGGCUGCGGGAAGAGAAGCGGUCGGUGCUGGAAACCCAACCAAUGCCUCAUUCAUCUUCUUGGUUCUUUCGGCAGGCGGGAGGGUUUCACUGGAAGACUGGGCAAACAGGAGCCCUGACUCUGCCUUCCAAUGCCGUGCCAAGGCAGGGCAGCAAGGUGGGCUCGGGCAAAGUGAGAAUCAGGGUUCUGAAGGAGCAAGUCGAAGAAGUCAAGAAGGCCAUCCCAGUGUCUUCCCCUCAAACCAAGUGGGUGACAGAAGCGAAAAGAGCAAAGAAAUGUGGCCAGUGUGAAAACAAACCCGCCCUGCUGGUGUGUGUGGAGUGCGGCGAGGAUUUCUGCGUGCCCUGCUUCAGCAGGAUGCACCACAAGGGUGCGCUGCGGGCACACCGAUCGCAUCCCAUCCAGACGCCGCCGUUAUCUAACACAAGAGCUCAGGAUACCGGCGUUGGCUUCACUUUACCCUCGCCGCCAUCAACGGAAGUGCGGGAAAGGAGGAAAGUGGACGGUCGAGCGUCAGGAUUCGGCCAACGUGGGUUAGAAGGGGGAGCCAAGAGCGGGCAAACCAUAGGCCCCAUAGAAGCGGAAGCCACACAAGGAGGAAGAAGAGGAGGAGGAGAAGUUGGCGGGGUACAGAAGCCAGGAGGGAAAGAAACGCGAGGCACCUCCGGGCCAGGUGAAGUGUCGUCACGGCGGGGAGAUGGGGGGACGGGAGGCGGCAGGGGCUCUCUCCUGGAGGGGAACUUCAGCGAGGAGGAGUCGUCGCGCGAGUUCCAGGAGGCCGUGGCGGCGUGGCGUGGUGCCGCUGGGCCCUGCGCGCCGGGCCCCGAGCGGACAACACGAGGCUCCGUGUCAGUGUCGGUGGAGGCUCGAGAGGAAAUCCCCAUCCCAGGCAAGGCCUUGCUGAGCCUGAAUUUCCCGGAGAACUCUGCCCUCUCGUACAUGGACCGUCUGCUCCUCAAGAAGCACCGACGCAGGACACCCCUCGAGGGACUAGGAGGGGAAGCAGCGGAGUGGAGGAUGCUAGAGAGACGCUCUGUCCAGUUUGACCACGGAGAUGAAAACGCAUCAGAAAAUCUUGAAGAACGCAAAUAUUACGUGGAGAUUUUUGCCGCACCGCAGGCCUCCAUUCGGGAACCCAGGCCCGAGUCAUCUCUCACCAUCGUAGAGAUGGCAGAGGGAGAGAACUUUCUGGAGGAGACAGAAGGGUUUGUUCUUGAGGAGGAUGGCUCACCCGUGAACGUCAGCUGCAGCGAUGAAGUAGAACCCAGAUAUCUUGCCCAGCACUCUCCGCUGCUGGAUGGUGGCCGCGAGGUAUCUGCAAGAACUCCUCGGCAACAGGCACCAAAACCAGUAACACCAUCUCCGCGUGGUGACCUCGAUGCUUCAGAGAGGGGCCUCACCACUGAGCCAUCAGAGGAUUUGAAGAAUGUUGGGAGCCGCAUCAAAUUGGAGCUGCCAGACUAUCAGGGCCUGCAGGGGUUUUUCUCCAUCGGUCUCAGCGCCGGCGGAGAGCACAGUGGCUCAAGACAUGGACAGAACGGGACGGAUCUUCACGGCAGCCGUCCGGCCUGUGGUACCGUCUCGGCGCGUACCAAUGCAGACGCCGCCCGAACGGCGAGUGCCAGUGGAGGGGCGUUAAGUCUGCUGUCAGGCCGGCACGGAGACUCGCGAUGGCGUGCGGACGACAGCCUGGGCCUCUGUGCCGACGCCGAGCUAACGAAGGCCGUGAUGGAGGAGAGCAGAUCGCACAGGCAGAGGGGCGGCAGCGCGUACAGGCCACGCUCGCCGGCCACUCGACUCGCUGCACGCAGAGACGCGGCGCGAUCUGCCGCCUCUGCCACCGCCCGCCCGUCAUCAUCCCCCUCGUCGUCACGGUCCACGUUCACUCCGCUCACGCCGCUGUCCCUUCGGCCGACGAGGUCAGGGGGUCCGGGCAGAGGAGUGCGGAUGAGCGGCGCCUUGGACGUGGAGUCGAACCGGGACUCGGAUGAGGACGAGGAGCGCAUCGUGGGCAGCCUGGAGAGAGAGCUGGCCCUGGGUCUCAGAAGAUAAGCACAUUUGAGCCUGGAUAGUGCUUGGAUGGGUGACCAGAAUUCAUAGAGAUAUGUUCAGCUGUUCAGAAUCUCCACCAGGGCAGCCCUGGCGAGUCCGGCUAAAUCCACAAACACCCGCAGGUGGCGACAACGCGCAGUGUCUGACCGUGCAGCAGCAGCGUGGGCAAAGUAUGGGGGCGUUGGGAUGGUAUUCGGUAUACGUCCCGCCAGCCACACAACACUGCUGGGAGCUAAAUGUUUUCAAUGUAAUCGGUUUAAUACGCGCACUCUACACUGGGUUUUCGACAUUCAUUAAACUAAUUCCGGGUGAACUGCCAGGUAUUUCUUAACAAAGACCAGUUUGCUUGUUUUAAACACAGUGAUUUUUUUAACGAAAAUAUUUCAAUUCCCGGAAGGCCUGAUCGGACGUGUAAGACGACUGCGUAAGUUUUGGCGUUUGUGCUGUGCAGCUCUCUCCGACGUGUUUUCGGAUCGUACCACGUGUUGUUCGAGACGAUGUUCGACGUUUCGCUUCACGUGCUCGGAGCUUCUUCGGUUUUUUAAGGCGCUUAAGAAGAAUUUUAAGAAGCUGCCAGCACCUGGCGCAGUACGUUGUGCCCAACAGCACAUGGUACAGUCCACACACACAUACACAUCAUCAGAGAGCUCUUCUGGGAUGUGGUUUGCCGUGAUACCUGCAUGCGGAAGAGUGAGGCUUUCGACCGUGGAUAUUUAUCAUUAAUUGGGGGUUUGAACAUGACGUGCCUUGCUUUGAAGUGACUCUAGGAGAAAUACAUCCGUUGAAGUGGCA